rnacentral:rRNA from 1 species
AUGUCGCACGUGUCACUUGCCAAAUGGACUCUUGACAUGGUGAUGUCCGUAGGAUGCUCCGCAUCAUCCCCUCCCCCUUGGGAAAGAUCCGACCUCGGAUCGAAAACCAAAUCACCAUGGGAAAGAGAUGGCUUCGCCGUGAGGAAGUGGACGUUCACCAAGUACUCGUCAUCUUCAAGCUCGCAAUGGGCACUCUCCAAUGUCGCACCGUCUUGGGAUUCCUUCAAAAUGAUCAAGGACAACAAACACUUGGAAAAACAAAUGUGGUUAGCGUUAGUUCAAAACCAAGCAUUCAAGAGGUGA